CAUGAAAGCAAGAUGCAGGCUGACAUAGAAAUACUGCGACUUGGGAGGGUUGGGGAAAGACAUCCUUGGCAGCUGCCAAUGACCCCUGGGGAAUAUUCUCUUGAAUACACUCCAUGGAGAAAAUUGUUCAUCCUUUGAGAGUUUGGAGGCGAUGCAAAGCGAGAGCUGAUGGCAGAGAUGAUAGUUCAAGAUGGAAACUUGCUUUGACCAGAAAAACUUAACCAAAGCAAUGGGAUGUGAGGAUGCCUAUGUGGAGCUAACUAGGUA
rnacentral:lncRNA from 1 species